GUUCUAUUAAGUUAAAAUUAAACUAUAAGGAUGUGGCCCUUAAUAUUCACUUAAAAGUGAGUAAACCA
rnacentral:tRNA from 1 species